GGCGCAGCGCUGGCAGGGGGGCUGGGGCGGAGUCCCCCCCCUAGUUUGGCGGAAAGUGAGUGAUGAGUCUGUGUCCCUAGCAAAGAGGCAAAGAACUUGCUGUGCAGCCUGAGUAGUUGUUUCUUUCGAUUGUUGUUGUGGCUUUUUUUUUUUUUUAAAUUGCGCUGCUCGGGGUGGGCUUGUCUGAGGGGGGGCUGGUUUGUGGCCGCGGAGAAAAAACCAACAACGCCCCCCUCCCCGAGAGCCAACGGAACAAAAACAAAAGAAACUUCGCCGGGUUCCGAAAGUGGCAGCAAAGUGCCGGGCAAGUUGCAGGGAUGGAGCUACAGAGCUUGCAAGAGGCGUUAAAAGUGGAAAUCCAGUGUCACCAGAAACUAGUUGCACAGAUGAAGCAAGAUCCACAGAACGGUGAUCUUAAGAAACAAAUCCAUGAAAGGCAAUCAAGAAUAGCAGCUCUUAAUGAAAAACAAAAGCUGGCGGUGCGGAGCUGCCCCGCGGCGGUGCUGGUGGGAAGCGGGGGCAGCGGAAACACCAAGCCCGGCGGCGGGGUCCCCGCGCUUCUCAAAGCGUCCGGCGGCGGCGGCGGCAGCCAGAGCCAGAGCCUGGCCAUCUCCGUCCUGCCGGCCAAGGCUCCCAUCGCGAUGGUGACCGCGCACCUCAACGGGGGGCUGGGCUGCAGCGCGGCCGGCGUGGAGCCCCCGCAGAGCGCCCCCAUCAACCUGCAGACCACGGCCAAGCUGGUGACCGCCCGGAGAGCGCCCGAGCGUGGCUCCCGCUCCCAGGCUUUGGGAACUAUCACUGCAGUGCCCAUUAAAGUUCCUCAGGUCAGCUCCUUGCAGAGGUUGGCAGGACAAGGACCAGCAGUGCUACCUCAGGUUAGGCCAAAGACCCUGAUUCCAGACAGCCUUCCUAUUUCCCCAUGCAGAGACCAACCUUCCAAACAGCCUCCUACUUUCCAAAAGGCAACAGUAGUGAGCAUCAAAAACCCUAGCCCUGCCCUCCCCACUGCCAAUAAUACUGUCAGCCAUGUACAGACACCUAACAGCCAGUCACAAAGUGUAGCCGAGUCUACAUCUAUCUCAUCACCUCUGAGCAGUGCAGGUGUGGCCUAUGCUAUUAUAUCAACCUCCCCCAACAAUGCAACUCCUAUCAGCACGAGCGCUACCGUCUCUGUGGUCAACGAUAGCAUUAAAGUGCAACCACUCCUCAUUAGUGCCGACAGCAAGGUUAUCAUCAUUCAGCCUCAAGUCCAGACCCAGACAGAAAAUAAAGUGGAAACAAAGAAACCUCCUGAAGAGUCACCUCAGGGACCCCCUGCUGCCAAAAAGAAAAAGGAGGAAAAUCCAGAGAAAAUUGCCUUUAUGGUAGCAUUAGGCCUGGUUACAACAGAACACUUGGAAGAAAUCCAGAGCAAGCGUCAGGAAAGAAAGAGAAGAAGCACAGCAAAUCCAGCCUAUAGCGGACUCUUGGAAACUGAGCGGAAACGCCUGGCAUCAAAUUAUUUGAAUAACCCCUUGUUCCUUUCAGCAAGAGCAAAUGAGGAUCCAUGUUGGAAGAAUGAAAUUCACCACGAUGACCACUGUACAGCAUGUAAGCGUGGCAUUAACUUGCAACCAUGUGGCACAUGUCCAAGAGCAUAUCAUCUCAAUUGCUUGGAUCCUCCUCUGAAAACUGUCCCCAAAGGGGUUUGGGCCUGCCCAAAGUGCCAACAAAAGGUAUUAAAGAAAGAUGAAAAUGUGCCAUGGACUGGAACUCUGGCUAUUGUUCAUUCCUAUGUUACUCAUAAAACAGUCAAAGAAGAAGAGAAGAGAAAAUUAUUAAAGAAAGGCAGCGAGCUGAAGAGUGAACAUAGACAGUUGGAAGAGAAAGAGAGACUUCUCAACAAUGCAAUUAAAAAAUGCUUAGAGCUAAAAAACAGCCUGUUAGCCCAGCAGAAAGGGACUCAGUCAUCGCUGGAACGUCUCAAAACUCUCAUUAGACUGAUACAAAAUGAGCAGAUGAUUCAGGUUACCAUGACGACAACCACCACCUCCUCCUUGCUAACUGUCCCCUGGAUCAAACCCUCAUCUGCCUCUGCUGCCAUGCACAAAGCCUUGCAGCAAUCACAGGGUCCUUUUUACUUAUUUUGCUAUUGAUGUAUUUUUCUCAUGGAGUUUUUGUGCAAGAUUUAGCAUAAACCAUAUAGUGGAUAGCUUUGGAGACAAAUUAAAAAAAGGAAAAUAUGGAAGGUUGAACAUGUGAAGAAUUUCUGAAGACAUGUCUUGGACUGUUAAAAGUAGUUAUUUUGAAAAGGGGACUGUCCAGUGGAUAGUGUGCAUAGAAAAAAAGUGUUUGUCUUAAAUAUGCCAAUGUAGUUUUACUUCUUUAUGAUGCAUUAAACUUGACUGACAAUUUAA